rnacentral:rRNA from 1 species
UACGGAGGGUGCGAGCGUUGUCCGGAAUCACUGGGCGUAAAGGGCGCGUAGGCGGCCUGAUAAGUAGGGGGUGAAAUCCUGCGGCUUAACCGCAGGGCUGCCUUCUAAACUGUCAGGCUUGAGCACAGUAGAGGCAGGUGGAAUUCCCGGUGUAGAGGUGGAAUGCGUAGAGAUCGGGAAGAACAUCAGUGGCGAAGGCGGCCUGCUGGGCUGUUGCUGACGCUGAGGCGCGACAGCGUGGGGAGCAAACAGG